rnacentral:misc_RNA from 1 species
GAGAUGAGAGAGGAUGGCCACGGCAAGAAAGAAGAAAGAAGGGAAAUUCUUUUUUUCUUUUAAUUUUUUUAACUCCUUUAUGCUAUAAUUAUUUCACAAAUUAAAUUAUUUAAUAUUAGACUUUAUUGCAUCAUGCUUAUGCAACUUUGAUGAUGUCAAAAAUUCUAAUUUUCUCUUCUUUUCUUUUUCCUUUAUUCUUUAAUUUAAUUUUAUUUUUCUAAAUUUUCAUUUGUCCAAUUUUAUUGGACGGUUAGGUCGUGAGUCACUUCUAGAGGUAAAUUGACCAAUUUGCCACUCGUCGGAUUGAUUCGGUUUGCAAAUAAUUCAGUAUUU